UUUUCACCACUAUUUUUUCAACAUUUAUUUGGAGAGAUGUCCUUUAUUGGAGAAGGUUGACUUUUAUUAAGAUUUCAGAAACUUUUAAUACCAUUUGCCCUUGAAUUAUUUGGAUAAAUUGAAUUUUCUAUAUUUUCUUGGUUAAACGGUAGAAAGUGAAAAUUAUUUAAUUUAAUAUUCCGUAGUCGUACUUCAUUAUUAGAUAAAGUAUUAAGUUUCUUCUUAAAAACAAAAAAAUAAAGUAUUAAGUAGUAUUUGAUCUAGUGAUGAUAAAGAUUGUAAGUUGGAAGUGCAUGUGAGAUUUUAAUACUGAUCGUCUUUUACCCUAAAAAUAUACAGCACGUUUGUAGUGCAACCAGCUGCAACGUAUGGCCUGAAGCCAGCUCAGCAAAAUAACGGAAGCUGACAAAAAAUAGCGGGAUUCUCCAAAAUUUUACAAAAAAGCAGGAAAUCAAUUCUUAACAAAAAAAAGCGGCUGACACACGCCACAUGCUUCCCAAAAGCCUACAAUAAUCCGCUGAUUUUUCUCAACUUUCUCACACUUCGAUUUUGCUCAACUUUUUUCCAGAAUUUUUCUCAAAUUUCUCACAUUUCGAUUUUUCUCACAAUUCAAUUUUUUACUUUGAAAUUUUCAGAGAUCUUUCACAUGGCUGAUGAAGAACCAAAUUUUCCAGACUCACAAGUAUCAAUGGAAAUUGAAGAAAUUAGAGAUUCAUUAAUGAAUCUAAAGAUCGAAAACAAAAUAAGAGAAAUCAAAGAACACAUAUUAGAAAUCUUCGAAUUACAAGAAACAAGUGACAACACAACAGAAAAGACUUAGAGCACAUUAGCAAAAGAAAGCACAAAUGAUAACAAUCAGACACAACAGAGUAAAGCUCCCAAGAAGAAGAUUUUGACUAUAUAGGAAGCCUAAUAGGAUUUAUAGCACAAACUUUGGAUGAAAUUUGUGAGAUAUAUAAAAAGCAUGCAUUUGCUAUGGGAUUUGGAGUAAGACUAUCAACCACCAAAUGGACUCAAGGAGAUAACAAACAAAUAAAGGGAAAAGAUUUUGUUUGUUCUAAAGAAGGCUUUAGAUGCAAACCCAAGGUUAAAAAAAACUCCUCCUCCGGCAAAUGAAAACAGAAAAAAAGUAAAACAAGUUCCUAUAACCAGAAUGCAAAAAACAGGUUCAAAAAACAUUAAUAAGAGAAAAAAAAAAACAAGGAAGACCUGUUUGAAAUUGAGGAACAUGUCAUCAAUCACAACCAUGAGU